CUCUCUCACAAUCCUCCUAGUGACUCCGAAUCUUAUCUAAUUGGUCUCUUCUCAUUUUCUAUGGCAAGAAAUCUUUGCCAAUUCUCAUUUUCUACUGCUGUAAUUCAAGAAUGUAUGUGUCUUGUUUUUCUUGGUUACUCAUGGUACACAUUGAACUUUGGAAUCAGGUGAACCAUUUUGGUGUUUAUGUGAUAUAUUUCUUCAAUCUUCCUGCACCAAUAGAUCAAAUUCCUACAAAUAUGUCUCCUGUGAAAAUCGUACCCACUAGCAUGGCCAAAGAAUUCGCUGGCGUAAAUGUAUGAUGGAAAUGAUAUGAUAUUUGGGAUAUCAUCAAGAAUGGCUGGCCUUGUUUUAAUCACUCUGUGUAUUUAUGUAAAAAUUUCACAAUGAAAUUUUGAUAAUUAAGUUGGCACUAUUGUCUUUGUUCUUGAUACAUUGUAAAAACCAAAAAAUUUCAAUGAAAAUUUGAUAAUUAACUUGGUACUA